GAAGAAUUUUUAUGCUUCUGAACCUUUGGAAGUUUGUUUAAUGGUAAUACACACAUGAGAUACAAGAUGCAAAAUGCAGAUGGAAAUACUGAAAAAAAAUUCAUCUCUCCUGUCUGUCCUUCAAGCCCCAGCUCCAAGUAGUAGAGGCCACCAGUGUUACCAAAAGAAUCCCAUCCAGGAUACCAUCUUACAUCUAGCCAUCAUGUGAUUUCAUGCUCCUCUUGGCUGUGACAAUUUCAUGGAUUUCCCUUGUUUUUGAAGACUUCAAUGGUUUUGAAAAAUCCUGGUCAGGGUGAGUAAUAUCGAGGAUGAACGGAGGUAGAAGAGGAAAAGAGAGGAGAGCACUGAUGAAUGAGAUUCGUAGGUGGUGAGGAGUGAUGUAAUCCAAAGAAGAAUGGAAAGGUUGGUCUUUGACACUUUUAAGAGGCUAAAAGCAGUGGAAGGAUGGCAGUGCAGAUAGGUUUGUAGAGGAUGGAUGAAGGAAAUAGCAAGUAGCAUGGUGGGAAGUUUAGGAGCUGGACUGUGAAACCAGGCUCAAAUCCAUCUCCUUCUACUUACUCCCUUGGUCAAGUUCUGCUUUUUUGGACUUCCAUUUCCUCAUCUGUGAAAUGGAGGGAAAGCAUUAUCUAUGUCUUAGAUUUGUAAAUUUUUAAAUGAGUUAACAUUU